rnacentral:rRNA from 1 species
ACGGAGGGUGCAAGCGUUAUCCGGAUUUAUUGGGUUUAAAGGGUUCGUAGGCGGACCAUUAAGUCAGUGGUGAAAGCCCUCUGCUCAACAGAGGAAUUGCCAUUGAUACUGAUGGUCUUGAGUGUAAGUGAAGUUGGCGGAAUGUGUGGUGUAGCGGUGAAAUGCUUAGAUAUCACACAGAACACCGAUUGCGAAGGCAGCUGGCUAACUUACAACUGACGCUGAGGAACGAAAGUGUGGGGAUCAAACAGGAUUAGAUACCCUGGUAGUCCACACCGUAAACGAUGAUUACUAGAUUUUGGCCGUAAGGUCAGAGUCCAAGCGAAAGUGUUUAGUAAUCCACCUGGGGAGUACGUCCGCAAGGAUG